UGGUUUAUUAUCAUCAUCAUAAUCAUUAUUAUUACUUUUAUUAUUGCGAUAUUGUUUCGAUUUUGAGAAUAAAAAACGAUCAAAACAUAUGCAUUUAAACCAGGGCGAAGGUUUCUGCGCUUAAUACGCAAGUUGCGUAACCCAACGCAAAGCACUGAAUCUGUUACGCGCAAGAUCAGAGGCCGCGCGGAAAAACCGUUACAAACAAAUUUCAAGCGCAAACAGCGGAACUGAGUGGAGCAGCACAAAUAUCUGAGGUCUUCCUGUUGAUAUUUCACCUGGAUCAAUCUCAAGACAACAUAUUGCUUGUAUGCAACAGGUGAACACAAGUUAUCAUCAGCCCUUGUUACCAAAUACCAGUUCUUGAGAGAAAAGACUGGCAGAGGAUGUGCUUAAAAACAUAUUCAAAAAUAAAAAUCACAUUUGAUUAAUGUUGAAGAAAAAAUGACAUUUGCUGCAGGUUCAGCAAAGUAAGAAAACAGAUCAUUUUACCAGGAGUCCAUCAAAAAUAUGGCAACCGUUGUAGAGGAUCUAUCUGGUCAAAAUUUCAAAAGAGGUCAAGGUCAGUUGGGGUAAGAGUAAGAGACAGAGUCUGGAGGCACAAACAGUGAUCAGCUGUUUGUUCAGCUGAUAUUGUUACUGAGCUGAAUGAAGAAUGGAUGAAGAAAACAAAUCUGUGUUGAUUUGGCACACGAAGGAACCAGAUUCACCCAAGCCUGUGCUGUUUAUAAAGGGACAUGUCUUGGAUGCGGAGUCUCUUUAAGAAAUAGUGAUGGAAGUGGAGGAGGAGGUCUGUGAAGUAGAUGAUGUGAACACAGCUCUACACUUCAACUUCAACACUGAAUAUGCUUCAAAGUUGAGAGACACAUUAAACAGUUUUCAGUAAAAGUCAGGGUAUCAUAAUGCCAAAACCAAUAUGCCACCCACAAUGGCUAAUUAUUGCAAUUUGUUUUAUUAAAUUAAUCUGUAUGUUUAUAAAUGCAUGAUAUUUAUUGUUUUUUAUGUAUGUGUA